ACUCAAAUGAAUAGACGGGGGCCCGCACAAGCGGUGGAGCAUGUGGUUUAAUUCGACGCAACGCGAAGAACCUUACCUGGGCUCGAAGUGUAGUGGAAGUCGGAUGAAAGUCUGGCGCCCGCAAGGGCCGCUGCAUAGGUGCUGCAUGGCUGUCGUCAGCUCGUGUCGUGAGAUGUUGGGUUAAGUCCCGCAACGAGCGCAACCCUCAUCUUUAGUUGCCAUGCCGUAAGGCGGCACUCUAAAGAAACUGUCGGCCACAAGCCGAAGGAAGGUGGGGAUGACGUCAAGUCCUCAUGGCCUUUAUGUCCAGGGCUACACACGUGCUACAAUGGACGGCACAAAGCGCUGCAAACCCGCGAGGGGGAGCCAAUCGCAAAAAGCCGUUCUCAGUUCGGAUUGCAGUCUGCAACUCGACUGCAUGAAGCUGGAAUCGCUAGUAAUCGCGGAUCAGCACGCCGCGGUGAAUACGUUCCCGGGCCUUGUACACACCGCCCGU
rnacentral:rRNA from 1 species